CCUACGGGAGGCAGCAGUGAGGAAUAUUGGUCAAUGGACGAGAGUCUGAACCAGCCAAGUAGCGUGAAGGAUGACUGCCCUAUGGGUUGUAAACUUCUUUUAUAUGGGAAUAAAAUGUUCCACGUGUGGGAUUUUGUAUGUACCAUAUGAAUAAGGAUCGGCUAACUCCGUGCCAGCAGCCGCGGUAAUACGGAGGAUCCGAGCGUUAUCCGGAUUUAUUGGGUUUAAAGGGAGCGUAGGUGGAUUGUUAAGUCAGUUGUGAAAGUUUGCGGCUCAACCGUAAAAUUGCAUUUGAAGCUGGCAGUCUUGAGUACAGUAGAGGUGGGCGGAAUGCGUGGUGUAGCGGUGAAAUGCUUAGAUAUCACGAAGAACUCCGAUUGCGAAGGCAGUUCACUGGACUGCAACUGACACUGAGGCUCGAAAGUGUGGGUAUCAAACAGGAUUAGAUACCCUAGUAGUC
rnacentral:rRNA from 1 species